rnacentral:rRNA from 1 species
AUGAACGCUAGCGGUGUGGAUAAGGCAUGCAAGUCAAGGGGGUCCGCAAGGACAACCGGCGAACGAGUUAGUAACACGUAGAAACAUACCUCAGAGUCUCGCAUAGCCCGGAGAAAUCCGGGGUAAUUCGAGAUAGUCCCGCAAGGGUAAAGAUUUAUCGCUCUGAGAUUGGUCUGCGUCUUAUCAGCUAGUUGGUAGGGUAACGGCCUACCAAGGCUAUGACGGGUAGGGGGCAUGAGAGUGUGUUCCCCAACGAGGGCACUGAGACACGGGCCCUACUCCUACGGGAGGCAGCAGUCGAGAAUCUUCCACAAUGGGGGAAACCCUGAUGGAGCGACACCGCGUGCAUGAAGAAGUCCUUCGGGAUGUAAAGUGCUUUUUUGAGGGAAUAACCUUCGGGUGAAUGUACCUUGAGAAUAAGGGGAGGCUAAUCACGU